rnacentral:rRNA from 1 species
GAAACCCGGUGAUCUAGCCAUGGGCAGGUUGAAGGUUGGGUAACACUAACUGGAGGACCGAACCGACUAAUGUUGAAAAAUUAGCGGAUGACUUGUGGCUGGGGGUGAAAGGCCAAUCAAACCGGGAGAUAGCUGGUUCUCCCCGAAAGCUAUUUAGGUAGCGCCUCGUGAAUUCAUCUUCGGGGGUAGAGCACUGUUUCGGCUAGGGGGUCAUCCCGACUUACCAACCCGAUGCAAACUACGAAUACCGAAGAAUGUUAUCACGGGAGACACACGGCGGGUGCUAACGUCCGUCGUGAAGAGGGAAACAACCCAGACCGCCAGCUAAGGUCCCAAAGUCAUGGUUAAGUGGGAAACGAUGUGGGAAGGCACAGACAGCCAGGAUGUUGGCUUAGAAGCAGCCAUCAUUUAAAGAAAGCGUAAUAGCUCACUGGUCGAGUCGGCCUGCGCGGAAGAUGUAACGGGGCUAAACCAUGCACCGAAGCUGCGGCAGCGACACUAUGUGUUGUUGGGUAGGGGAGCGUUCUGUAAGCCUGCGAAGGUGUGCUGUGAGGCAUGCUGGAGGUAUCAGAAGUGCGAAUGCUGACAUAAGUAACGAUAAAGCGGGUGAAAAGCCCGCUCGCCGGAAGACCAAGGGUUCCUGUCCAACGUUAAUCGGGGCAGGGUGAGUCGACCCCUAAGGCGAGGCCGAAAGGCGUAGUCGAUGGGAAACAGGUUAAUAUUCCUGUACUUGGUGUUACUGCGAAGGGGGGACGGAGAAGGCUAUGUUAGCCGGGCGACGGUUGUCCCGGUUUAAGCAUGUAGGCUGAUUGUCCAGGCAAAUCCGGAUAAUCAAGGCUGAGGUGUGAUGACGAGGCACUACGGUGCUGAAGUAACAAAUGCCCUGCUUCCAGGAAAAGCCUCUAAGCAUCAGGUAACAUCAAAUCGUACCCCAAACCGACACAGGUGGUCAGGUAGAGAAUACCAAGGCGCUUGAGAGAACUCGGGUGAAGGAACUAGGCAAAAUGGUGCCGUAACUUCGGGAGAAGGCACGCUGGUGUGUAGGUGAAGUCCCUGCGGAUGGAGCUGAGACCAGUCGAAGAUACCAGCUGGCUGCAACUGUUUAUUAAAAACACAGCACUGUGCAAACACGAAAGUGGACGUAUACGGUGUGACGCCUGCCCGGUGCCGGAAGGUUAAUUGAUGGGGUUAUCCGUAAGGAGAAGCUCUUGAUCGAAGCCCCGGUAAACGGCGGCCGUAACUAUAACGGUCCUAAGGUAGCGAAAUUCCUUGUCGGGUAAGUUCCGACCUGCACGAAUGGCGUAAUGAUGGCCAGGCUGUCUCCACCCGAGACUCAGUGAAAUUGAACUCGCUGUGAAGAUGCAGUGUACCCGCGGCAAGACGGAAAGACCCCGUGAACCUUUACUAUAGCUUGACACUGAACAUUGAGCCUUGAUGUGUAGGAUAGGUGGGAGGCUUUGAAGCGUGGACGCCAGUCUGCGUGGAGCCAACCUUGAAAUACCACCCUUUAAUGUUUGAUGUUCUAACGUUGGCCCCUGACCGGGGUUGCGGACAGUGUCUGGUGGGUAGUUUGACUGGGGCGGUCUCCUCCCAAAGCGUAACGGAGGAGCACGAAGGUUAGCUAAUCCUGGUCGGACAUCAGGAGGUUAGUGCAAUGGCAUAAGCUAGCUUGACUGCGAGCGUGACGGCGCGAGCAGGUGCGAAAGCAGGUCAUAGUGAUCCGGUGGUUCUGAAUGGAAGGGCCAUCGCUCAACGGAUAAAAGGUACUCCGGGGAUAACAGGCUGAUACCGCCCAAGAGUUCAUAUCGACGGCGGUGUUUGGCACCUCGAUGUCGGCUCAUCACAUCCUGGGGCUGAAGUAGGUCCCAAGGGUAUGGCUGUUCGCCAUUUAAAGUGGUACGCGAGCUGGGUUUAGAACGUCGUGAGACAGUUCGGUCCCUAUCUGCCGUGGGCGCUGGAGAAUUGAGGGGGGCUGCUCCUAGUACGAGAGGACCGGAGUGGACGCAUCACUGGUGUUCGGGUUGUCAUGCCAAUGGCACUGCCCGGUAGCUAAAUGCGGAAGAGAUAAGUGCUGAAAGCAUCUAAGCACGAAACUUGCCCCGAGAUGAGUUCUCCCUGAGACUUUAAGUCUCCUGAAGGAACGUU